rnacentral:rRNA from 1 species
UACGUAGGGUGCAAGCGUUGCCCCGGAUUUAUUGGGCGUAAAGCGCGCGCAGGCGGAUCUGUGCGUCCCGCGUGAAAUCGCCCGGCUCAACCGGGCGGGGUCGCGGGAUACGGCGGAUCUGGAGCAAGGGAGGGGGCAGUGGAAUUCCCGGUGUAGUGGUGGAAUGCGUAGAUAUCGGGAGGAACACCAGUGGCGAAGGCGACUGCCUGGACCUUGGCUGACGCUGAGGCGCGAAAGCGUGGGGAGCGAUCCGG